rnacentral:rRNA from 1 species
AGCUCUGUAAGCGUAUACCAAAGUUGUUGCAGUUAAAACGCUCGUAGUCGAACCUUGGUGUGAUGGGGUGGUGCGCUCGCAAGAGCGUUGCUGCCCCUUGCACCUUUGUGGAUUGGCGGUAGUCUGGUUCUUUAUUGAAUUGGGCUAUUGCUACCACCGUUUACUGUGAAUAAAUUAGAGUGUUCAAAGCAAGCGUUUGCCCUGAAUACAUUAGCAUGGAAUAAUUGAAAAGGACCUGUGAUCCUUUUUAGUUGGUUUGUGGAUAAUGGGUAAUGAUUAAGAGGGACGGUCGGGGGCAUUUGUAUUCCGGCGUUAGAGGUGAAAUUCUUAGAUCGCCGGAAGACAAACAGCUGCGAAAGCGUCUGCCAAGGACGUUUUCA